rnacentral:lncRNA from 1 species
ACAGAAGGUCACAAGUUGUGACUCCCAUGUCUUCCCUCUUUCGACACUCUUGAGCUCAGCUGUCUUCUGGUUGGCGAGUGCUUCCUUUCUCCGCAGCGUCUUCUGGCCACUUCACUCUGACUGAGGCUGAAUUUUGAAGCUUACAGAUUUCUCGGGAUUCAGAAGGGAAGGUCACCCCCGCACAUGGAAGAGCAGUGAUGCGCCCAUACUGCAACGUGCUCGGGAUACUGCGGGAAAGGGUUCCAGAACCAUUCCGCCUACUCACCAGCUCUAGGAUUUGGCAGCCAACACCCUCCUCUGACCUCCGAGGCUCGGCGUUAUUGACUAACCCUAACAGGGAUGGAUCCCGCCUUCCCUGCCUCACAGUGACUUCUGUGAGGGUUAAACGAGAGCCAUGAAAACCAUGCAUGUCAGUAUUUCCCAGUAAACACUUAGUGACGGAAGUGCUGCGGUGGGGACCAGCGUUCGCAAAGUGCAGAAGACACGGUUCCCCAAGUGAAGCUUGAAGACCUAGAAAGACCUGAGUCAGGUUUUCCACUGAGAUGUGAACCAGCUCCUGGGGGCCCCUGGGGUGCUGCCUUGUUGACCGCAGGCCUUUAAGAUCUUUGUGUACCGCUGAGACCUCUUGAUUCUAAGAAUCUCAUCCAGGACACGGGAUUCCACGGAGUUGUCACGUCUGUCAAGCUCCGCCUGUGCCAGUUUCUCCGACAUUCCUUGUUUUUGAUGGUACAUUGACGGUUUUAAGGAGCGCUGCUCAGGUGUAUUGUAGGAUGCUCCGUGACUGGACUGUGAUGCAUUUCUUAUGAUUAAACAGGGGUUAUGGGUCUUUGAAAGAAAAGUCACAGAGGUAAAGUGGUAUUUUCAUCAGACCCCAUCAGGGGCACAUAGCAACAUAACUUAUGACUGUUGAUACUAACCUUGAUCACUGGCUUAGUAGUGUUUGUCAGGUUCCUCCACUGUAAAGUUUCUCUUUUCCCCCUUCCUGCCUUUUCUUGUUUUCAAAAAGCCCUGUUCCCAUGAUUAUGCUUCUGUAAUAUAAGCAGGUGGAUGCUUUGUGUGGAUACAGCAGCCUCCAAGGUUUGGAUGGCCUUGUUGUCUGCUUAGCAGUGCAGGAUCACCCAGAGGCUGUGCUGCGUGUGCUCAGAGUCUUCCACAGCCACAGUGUCAUGUACGGGGUCUGGCCCACAACUGACAGGGAAUCAGAAUUUC